UAUAACUUCUUUGAAAGCUAGG
rnacentral:miRNA from 2 species